ACGGAAGGCAGCAGUGGGGAAUAUUGCACAAUGGGCGAAAGCCUGAUGCAGCGACGCCGCGUGAGUGAAGAAGUAUCUCGGUAUGUAAAGCUCUAUCAGCAGGGAAGAAAAUGACGGUACCUGACUAAGAAGCCCCGGCUAACUACGUGCCAGCAGCCGCGGUAAUACGUAGGGGGCAAGCGUUAUCCGGAUUUACUGGGUGUAAAGGGAGCGUAGACGGUUUGGCAAGUCUGAAGUGAAAUGCGGGGGCUCAACUCCUGAACUGCUUUGGAAACUGUCGAACUAGAGUGCGGGAGAGGUAAGUGGAAUUCCUAGUGUAGCGGUGAAAUGCGUAGAUAUUAGGAGGAACACCAGUGGCGAAGGCGGCUUACUGGACUGUAACUGACGUUGAGGCUCGAAAGCGUGGGGAGCAAACAGGAUUAGAUACCCUGGUA
rnacentral:rRNA from 1 species